rnacentral:rRNA from 1 species
UGGCUCAUUAAAUCACACCUAAUCUACUGGAUAGUAAACAGUUACUUGGAUANCUGCGGUAAUUCUGGAGCUAAUACAUGCACAAAGCCCCGAACUUACGUGAGGGGCGCUUUUAUUAGAUCAAAACCAAACGGCUUCGGCUGUACUCUUGGUGACUCUGAAUAACUUUGGGCUGAUCGUACGGCCUAGCGCCGACGACAUAUCCUUCGAAGGUGUGCCCUAUCAACUGUCGACUGUGGCAUAGACGCCCACAGUGGUUUUGACGGGUAACGGGGAAUCAGGGUUCGAUUCCGGAGAGGGAGCCUUAAAAACGGCUACCACAUCUAAGGAAGGCAGCAGGCACGCAAAUUACCCAAUGACCGAAGGUCGAGGUAGUGACAAAAAAUAACGAUACGGGACUCAUCUGAGGCCCCGUAAUCGGAAUGAGUACACUUUAAAACCGUCCCCGAGGAUCUAUU